UAUAAUUUAUCAUUUGAUAAAUAAUACAAUUUAUGGAUGUAAAUUUCCUUACUAAUAUUAUUUUAAGUAAGAGAACAUUUUUGACGCUUGUUACAUGCACGUGUAUAUCGUCAAAAAAUGUAUUCGUCGCAAUGUUACUUUAUCAAGAGCGAAGACCAGAGGAAAAAGAGAAAAGACGAAUAAGAAAUCACCUUUAGCAUAACAUGGGGAGGCUGGGUUCAAUGGAAUGCCGAUCUAGUAAGAGGCGUGGUAUGUGGCCGUCACAUACCAAACAACCGUGCUUUUAUUUUUUGUGCAGAUUCUUUAGGUUAAACCUAAUCAUACUUGCAUUUUUAGCCGAUAAUUAAAGAAAUCACGCUUUCUAACAGAAUAUUAGCACGAAAGCAAAAAUAAUGCGACAGAAAAUAAGAGGAUUAAUUAAAAAUCCAACCGGUUUUGCAAAAAACCUUUAUCAGAUACUGGUUUAAACACAGAACCCUUUCGCGCUACGAAAAGAAAAAAAAAGGAUACAGAGUUUUGUAUAGUGAGUCAUUCGUAGGUGUGUCUUGGAUUAAUCCGCAGCACCUGUGCUAGAAUAUAUUUCUAGAGCUGGAACCUUCACAUGAUAAAAUGAAGGGGUUUCUGAAAAUUUUGCUAGAGUUAACAGAUCAAUGUUCCAAAAGAGUGAACAUGUUGCACCCCACGUUUCUUGAACAGACUAUUUUCGUGAGUAAAGUUGGGGAAGAAUGAAUCGUAAUGAGUAGGGUGCUUAUUGUCUAUCCUGAUUUGUCGCUUUGUUGACCAGAAUGCUAUAACUUCCGGGUAUGUGUGAACAUUACGAUAUGGAUGGUUAAUAUUAAAUUAUAAUAUAUUCAGUAUAUCACAAAGUAGAUUAAAAUAAGGAAUUAUGUGUACAUGACUAAUGUUAUAGCGGCAAAUUUAAUAAGUUAACAGAAAAUAUUACGUCAGCUUCAAACCUUUAUAUUUUCGUUACAUAUACAUAUACAUGUGUGCGUUACAUAUACAUGUGUGCGUGACUUUGUUGCAUUGAGAAAAGUUCCAUCGUAAGUUUUAUAGAACAAUCUAAAAAUACUUCCAAUAUCGAGGUCGCGAAACAAAAGAGAAGAGUUUGAUAGAAAACUUAAAUACGAUAAGAAAUAGAAAUGGUUUAUUAUGUAUAACGUAACGAACAAAUUCUGUUAAUACAUUGAAAGAAGGAUGAAAUACAUAUUAAUGCUUCCAUCAUUGCAUUCGUUAACAUCUUUUUACGAAUACACCUCCGCAUCCUUCGACGGAGGUGGAAGAAAUUUCAGUUUUGCUGUUGUCUGAAACGCACGAAAUGCAAUGUAUGCGAUAGAAAUGAUAACGUGGAAAAAUAUCCAUGAAAUGUUUUAAGUAGAUCAUCACUAGAAUAAAUUAGAAUUUUUAAAAAAUUUAUUGAUUACAUAAAAAAUGAAUGAGCGCUAUAUGAUCUAGUACGGAAGAUGUAUCAAAUAGUCUUAAUUCAUCGUUUAUAUAUUGCAUCAUUACUAUCAAAAAUGAAAUUCGACGUGUUUAUUAUGUAUACGUGUUAAAUAUUUCAUUAGAGUAACAUGUAUAGUAUUGGUGCACAUCCUAGCGUUGAAAUCACCCGAUAAAUUGAGUGAUCGCGAUGCUGUUUAUAGCAUCAGUGAUCGGUACACAUAUUGCUUUAAUGCGGUUCUAACUAGACGAUAUUUUGAUAAUAUUUCAAGAAAAUGAACUUCACUACUUAUUUUUUAAACACAAGUGAAAUGAAAUUCAGUGUAACCUAUCUGUUCAAGGGCACGUAGUACAAUGUAAUAAAAGAAAUAUGUCACCAGAACUUAAUAAUAACUUUAUAUACUAAUAUCUUAUAUAAUGUUUAUUGAGAAUAAACAUCUUUGAUAUUAUUGCCUUUACUCGGCUCAAAAACACAAAAAGUACAUGUGUGCAUUGCAUAUAUAGUGUAUAUUAAGAAAAGAAACUUUUUCCGAAAUUAUAAUAUACUCAAAAAAUAAAUAACAGGCAGUUUUUCAUUUUAUAUACCAGUACUCAUCAUUUUCAACAUUUUACUGGUCUUAAAGAAAACCGAACCUUAUUAAUAUUUAAGAUAAAAAUCCUUUUAUUUUAAUAUGCACGGAUUAAUUCGAAAAACUUGUUUUUACACAGAGUGUCCUUUCUCAUUCAUCGCCUUUCUUUAAAAGCGUUCUUUUCUCAUUCAUACGAAAAUAAUGGACGCUUUUACUGAGGAAGUAAUAAGAGUACAAUUCAAAGUGCCGACAACUUGGGCCAAAUGACGCUUCAGUGUUUGAGACGAGACGCAUGAAAUGUGCACCACUACGACGCGACGGACGGAACGAGAUUCGUGCUCAGUGCAGAACGAUCGGGAACGUGAGCUUUCACUUUCCUCGAGCGGCUUGCACAAGCGAGACACUACCGUGGUCAGGGCGCACGACAUUUGGUACGAAAAACUCGUCGAACCAUGAAGCGUCGGAUAUUCAGACAACGACGAUAC